ACUCCUACGGGAGGCAGCAGUAGGGAAUAUUGCACAAUGGGCGCAAGCCUGAUGCAGCAACGCCGCGUGCGCGAUGAAGGUCUUCGGAUCGUAAAGCGCUUUUCGGGGAGAUGAGGAAGGACAGUAUCCCCGGAAUAAGUCUCGGCUAACUACGUGCCAGCAGCCGCGGUAAU
rnacentral:rRNA from 1 species